UCCUGGAGGGCGAGGACGCCCACAUCUCUUCCCAGUACUCCUCUGCGAUGUCCUCGCACUCCGGCAGGGAAGGGAUGACGUCCUCCCGCCAGGUCCGCACGAUCGUGGAGGAGGUGCAGGACGGGAAGGUGGUCUCCUCCCGGGAGCAAGUCGCCCUCACCACCCGCUAACGGCGCUGGGGACCCUCGGCCCCAGGCUCAGGCUCGUGGCCGCUGAACCAAGCCCUGGCUGAGGCUCUGUUCGGUGGGGCUGUGCCGCAGGCAGCUUCACCCGGCUGCUUCUGUGCCCUGAUUUACCCUAAUUUUUGCCCAGGUGCUAACGUGCACUCUGUACGCAUUUAAUAAAGCUUUUUUUUUUUUUUUCAUUCAUGCAA